AUCAUAUUCUAAAAUCCUGUAACCUAAAACAGAGCAGGCUAAGUUUCCAGGCCAGCCAGCAUAAUUCUGUUUUAUCCAUAAUAUGUAUUAUGCCUUGAUGUUUGAUACUCUUCCCUCUGGAAACACACAGAACUAGCAGAAGGAAGAAAAAGGUUUUUUCCACGUUGCCGAGCAGUAGGGCAAAAUAGAUCUCGGGAUUUCGGGAUCUCUCCUAUUUGCCAAAUUCUU
rnacentral:lncRNA from 1 species